AUUCCCUCUUUCUUCGUGCCUAAUACAUGCAAGUCGAGCGAACAGACGAGGAGCUUGCUCCUCUGACGUUAGCGGCGGACGGGUGAGUAACACGUGGAUAACCUACCUAUAAGACUGGGAUAACUUCGGGAAACCGGAGCUAAUACCGGAUAAUAUAUUGAACCGCAUGGUUCAAUAGUGAAAGACGGUUUUGCUGUCACUUAUAGAUGGAUCCGCGCCGCAUUAGCUAGUUGGUAAGGUAACGGCUUACCAAGGCAACGAUGCGUAGCCGACCUGAGAGGGUGAUCGGCCACACUGGAACUGAGACACGGUCCAGACUCCUACGGGAGGCAGCAGUAGGGAAUCUUCCGCAAUGGGCGAAAGCCUGACGGAGCAACGCCGCGUGAGUGAUGAAGGUCUUCGGAUCGUAAAACUCUGUUAUUAGGGAAGAACAAAUGUGUAAGUAACUAUGCACGUCUUGACGGUACCUAAUCAGAAAGCCACGGCUAACUACGUG
rnacentral:rRNA from 1 species